rnacentral:rRNA from 1 species
AACGAACGCUGGCGGCAUGCCUAACACAUGCAAGUCGAACGAGACCUUCGGGUCUAGUGGCGUACGGGUGCGUAACGCGUGGGAACCUGCCCUUAGGUUCGGAAUAACUCCCCGAAAGGGGUGCUAAUACCGGAUAAUGUCUUCGGACCAAAGAUUUAUCGCCUUUGGAUGGGCCCGCGUUGGAUUAGCUAGUUGGUAGGGUAAAAGCCUACCAAGGCGACGAUCCAUAGCUGGUCUGAGAGGAUGAUCAGCCACACUGGGACUGAGACACGGCCCAGACUCCUACGGGAGGCAGCAGUGGGGAAUAUUGGACGAUGGGCGAAAGCCUGAUCCAGCAAUGCCGCGUGAGUGAUGAAGGCCUUAGGGUUGUAAAGCUCUUUUACCCGGGAUGAUAAUGACAGUACCGGGAGAAUAAGCUCCGGCUAACUCCGUG